rnacentral:rRNA from 1 species
AACGAACGCUGGCGGCAGGCAUAACACAUGCAAGUCGAACGGCAGCACAGGAGAGCUUGCUCUCUGGGUGGCGAGUGGCGGACGGGUGAGGAAUACAUCGGAAUCUACUUUUUCGUGGGGGAUAACGUAGGGAAACUUACGCUAAUACCGCAUACGACCUACGGGUGAAAGCAGGGGAUCUUCGGACCUUGCGCGAUUGAAUGAGCCGAUGUCGGAUUAGCUAGUUGGCGGGGUAAAGGCCCACCAAGGCGACGAUCCGUAGCUGGUCUGGGAGGAUGAUCAGCCACACUGGAACUGAGACACGGUCCAGACUCCUACGGGAGGCAGCAGUGGGGAAUAUUGGACAAUGGGCGCAAGCCUGAUCCAGCCAUACCGCGUGGGUGAAGAAGGCCUUCGGGUUGUAAAGCCCUUUUGUUGGGAAAGAAAUCCAGCUGGUUAAUACCCGGUUGGGAUGACGGUACCCAAAGAAUAAGCACCGGCUAACUUCGUGCCAGCCGCCGCGGUAACAC